rnacentral:rRNA from 1 species
AACCGGGAUUGCCUUAGUAACGGCGAGUGAAGCGGCAAAAGCUCAAAUUUGAAAUCUGGUACCUUCGGUGCCCGAGUUGUAAUUUGGAGAGGGCAACUUUGGGGCCGUUCCUUGUCUAUGUUCCUUGGAACAGGACGUCAUAGAGGGUGAGAAUCCCGUGUGGCGAGGAGUGCGGUUCUUUGUAAAGUGCCUUCGAAGAGUCGAGUUGUUUGGGAAUGCAGCUCUAAGUGGGUGGUAAAUUCCAUCUAAAGCUAAAUAUUGGCGAGAGACCGAUAGCGAACAAGUACAGUGAUGGAAAGAUGAAAAGAACUUUGAAAAGAGAGUGAAAAAGUACGUGAAAUUGUUGAAAGGGAAGGGCAUUUGAUCAGACAUGGUGUUUUGUGCCCUCUGCUCCUUGUGGGUAGGGGAAUCUCGCAUUUCACUGGGCCAGCAUCAGUUUUGGUGGCAGGAUAAAUCCAUAGGAAUGUAGCUUGCCUCGGUAAGUAUUAUAGCCUGUGGGAAUACUGCCAGCUGGGACUGAGGACUGCGACGUAAGUCAAGGAUGCUGGCAUAAUGGUUAUAUGCCGCCCGUCUUGAAACACGGACCAAGGAGUCUAACGUCUAUGCGAGUGUUUGGGUGUAAAACCCAUACGCGUAAUGAAAGUGAACGUAGGUUGGGG